rnacentral:rRNA from 1 species
GCCUGACGCAGCUAUGCCGCGUGAAUGAUGAAGGUCUUAGGAUUGUAAAAUUCUUUCACCGGGGACGAUAAUGACGGUACCCGGAGAAGAAGCCCCGGCUAACUUCGUGCCAGCAGCCGCGGUAAUACGAAGGGGGCUAGCGUUGCUCGGAAUUACUGGGCGUAAAGGGAGCGUAGGCGGACAUUUAAGUCAGGGGUGAAAUCCCGGGGCUCAACCUCGGAAUUGCCUUUGAUACUGGAUGUCUUGAGUGUGAGAGAGGUAUGUGGAACUCCNAGUGUAGAGGUGAAAUUCGUAGAUAUUCGGAAGAACACCACUGGCGAAGGCGACAUACUGGCUCAUUACUGACGCUGAAGCUCG